GGGCUGCGGGGCCUUUGAUCUCCCUGAGGCGCGCACCCCGCAGGGAAAUGGAAUCAUGGUGAGGAAGCGCCCCCUUCUGGCCAGAGAGGGAGCUGUCGGCCACGUUUUCCAGCUCUGGGAUGGCGACUGGCCCAGAGGCUGCUACUUUUUCUGUAGGACAGUUAAGGAAUCCAGUUUCUCCUGAGAAAGAGGGGAGACCACCCCUGAAAUCACCCUUCACAGGAUCCUUUUGACCGGCAGCCAUCUUAGGAACAAUGAGUUUCUCUCUCGAGAUCUUGUUUUUUGGUCAGAGAGCAUUUUUGGAGAUCUCCCUCCUGCCUGUCUGUGUCAUCACCCUCCACCCAGGUCAGCAACAAAAUGCUCAGAGACCUGCAUCCCACCCAGGGCUCUCACCUGCUAUACCAGACUCCCAGAUGAGGCUGGUUUCUGGGGUUUGUGCCCCUCCCUCCAUAUUCACCGUUCUGUCCACUGCAGGAUGAUCACAUGAGGCUGCUUCAGUGUCCAUGGAGGAAACACAAAGCAUGAAAUUUCUGAUUCUUCCCACUCAGGCCCCCAGUCGCCAUAUGUGACCCAUCACCCCAUCUCUGGGCAUGAGGUCAACCUGAGGUGCUGCGCCCUGGGUUUCUACCCUGCGGACAUCACCCUGGCCUGGCAGGGAGAUGAAGAGGACAUGGCCCCAGGAAAUGGAGCUUGUGAACAUCAGGCCAGGGAGGGGGGAUGGAAACUACCAGAAGUGGGCAGCUGUGGAGGUGUCUUCUGGAGAGAAGCAGAGAUACACAUGCCAUGUGCAGCAUGAGGGGCUGAUUGCACCCCGAGUCCUGAGAAGGAGUAAGGAGGGAGAUGUGAGCACACGGCUGACUCAGGGGCAUCAGAAGGAUGCCCUUCUCCCUUCUGGAGACCUUCAGAGGGUCAGACUGAGGCCUCAGGUUCAGGGUCUGACCUUCUCUUCCCUUUCAGUUUCCCCUCCUCAGUUCUCCAUCCUUGCUGUCGUCCUCAUUUCUGGCUUGGUUUUCUUUGUUGGUGUGCUCAUUGGACACAAGGUGGCUUCAUGUAUGAGGGGGUAAAAGAAGUUCUCAGGUAGGGAAGGGAGUGGGGAGAUCUUGUCCACUGGGGGCUUUCAUGUCCCAGGGAGAACUUGCCCUGCCUGGUUAAUGGGAAGUACCAUCCACACACGUGUGUUGCCCAGAGGGUAUUUGGUUCAGUCCCCUCUCAUCUCCUUUCUUCAUUUUUCCCAGUCCUGACCUGGGUCUUUACUCACAGUUCUGGAAACUUCCCUGUGGUGCAGGAUUAGAUGAUUCCUUUAGCCUUCUGACCUGACUCCUCCCUGGUCUCGCAUGAUACUUCUUCCCACAGGAGGACAAGGAGGAAGCUACACUCAGGCUGCAACCAUAGUCCCAGUGCUCUGAAGUGUAUCUCAGACCUUAAAGGGUAUUAGACAGCCUUCCGUAGGCCUGAGUGUUACAGGAUUUCUUUUCGCCCAUAUUGUGUGGCUUUAUGAUCCCCUGGUUUAAACCUUCACACCUGCAAGAACGGCCCAUAUCCAAAAGACCAGAAACAACAAGUGCUGGCAAGGAUGAAAAAAGGGGACAGUCGUGCACUGUUUUUGGAUAAAGACGGAGCCAGCCCUUAUGGAAACAGUACGGAGGUUUCUUAAAGAGUGAAUGUGGUUCUGCCAUUGGACCCAGCAAUUCUACACUGAGGAUCUACUCACAGAGGAUAAAUACUCUCCUGUGAAGGGACCUGCACUCCUGUCACCACUGCAGCACUAUUUACAGUAGCCAAGCUAUGGGAACCACCUGAAUGCCCCAGACAGCCGCCCUCUCUGUAGUGUCUCUACUCAGCAGUGUUUGAGCAGCCCCAGGAGUCCCUGCACCUCCUGCCUCUGACCUUGAGGGAAACCAGCCCCUCAGCCUGCUUGACAGUGAGGAGGUAAAGGCAAAGUCCUGAGGUCAGUGACUGAUGGAGGAGACAAUUUCUUUUUACCUUCACGGUAUUAUUCAAUUGAGGUCAGCAUUGGUUUACACACUGCAUGUGUUGAGGCGAGGGUCACACCUCUUCAGAUGUUUGUUACCACAUCACACCCACACUAACGGCACCCACAGUCUUAACCAUAGCCCAUUGGGCCCUCUUCCUACUUUGUUUCCUACUCUUACCCCCAGCCCAUAACUUCCAUUCUGUAGUCAUAUAUAUAGAGUAUGUUUUGGUUUAGUUUCAUCUGUCCCUGCUUUGUUUCUUUAUAUUACAAAUAUGAAAUCAUCCAGUACUUAACUUUCCCCUUCAAACUUAUUUCAUUUAGCACAAUCCCAUUCAUAUCUAUCCAUGUUGUUGCAAAUCCAUUAUUUCAUCUUUUUCACAGCCGAGUAGUAUUCCAUUGUGUAUAUAGCUUGUGUUCUUUAUCCCCUCAUUUGCCGUUGGGCACUAAGGUUGUCUUCAUCGCUUGGUUAUGGUAGACAGCACUGCAGUGACCAUAGGAGGCACAUAUUCCUUGGAAUUAGUGUUUUUACCUUCUUUGGAUAAAUACCAAGGAAUGGGAUGCUUGACCAUGUGACAGGUCUAUUUUGAGGAACCUUCAUUUUUUUUUUUUUCUAUAGGGUCAGGA